GAUGAACGCUGGCGGCGUGCCUAAUACAUGCAAGUCGAGCGAAUGGAUUAAGAGCUUGCUCUUAUGAAGUUAGCGGCGGACGGGUGAGUAACACGUGGGUAACCUGCCCAUAAGACUGGGAUAACUACGGGAAACCGGGGCUAAUACCGGAUAACAUUUUGAACCGCAUGGUUCGAAAUUGAAAGGCGGCUUCGGCUGUCACUUAUGGAUGGACCCGCGUCGCAUUAGCUAGUUGGUGAGGUAACGGCUCACCAAGCCAACGAUGCGUAGCCGACAUGAGAGGCGUAUCAGCAACACUGGGACUGAGACACGGCCCAGACUCCUACGGGAGGCAGCAGUAGGGAAUCUUCCGCAAUGGACGAAAGUCUGACGGAGCAACGCCGCGUGAGUGAUGAAUGCUUUCGGUUCGUAGAACUCUGUUGUUAGGGAAGAACAAGUGCUAGUUGAAUAAGCUGGCACCUUGACGGUACCUAACCAGGAAGCCACGGCUAACUACCUGCCAGCCGCCGCAGUAA
rnacentral:rRNA from 1 species